rnacentral:rRNA from 1 species
UUAAGCAUAUUACUAAGCGGAGGAAAAGAAACCAACGGGGAUUCCCAUAGUAACUGCGAGUGAAAUGGGAACAGCCCAGCGCCGAAUCCUGUUGCUGGCGACGGCGACAGGAACUGUGGCGUGAAGACGGUGUCUAUUGGUGUGACUGGCUCGCGCAAGUUCUCCUGAGUGAGGCUCCAUCCCAUGGAGGGUGCAAGGCCCGUACCGUGAGCAGUUGUCACCGAUGUGCUCUGUCAGAGAGUCGCCUUGUUUGCGAGUACAAGGUGAAGUCGGUGGUAAACUCCAUCGAAGGCUAAAUAUGACCACGAGUCCGAUAGCGAACAAGUACCGUGAGGGAAAAUUGAAAAGCACUUUGAAGAGAGAGCGAAACAGUGCGUGAAACCGCUCAGAGGCAAGCAGAUGGGGCCUCGAAGGCAAAGCAUCGAAUUCAGCUGGUUGUUUGUGCCUGUCGGCUGGUACGGGAGAUUGCAAAACUCUGUCUGGCUGUAGCGGGCGCGGCGACUAGUGCACUUUCGGUGCUUGUACGCCACCGCCGUUGAGGAGCGUCCGCCGGGCAGGCGUGUGGAGCCCUAUUCUCUCACGAGCGUAGGUGCUCACUGCUGGCUAUCGUGCGCGUUCGCGUCUCAACCGGUCAUGUCAGCGUGUGCCAGCUUUUGCGUUGGGUUCGGCUGGCUCUGGUCCGGUGUCGUUUGGGAGAUGACGAGCUUGCUCGGCUCACCCGCACCGGAUAGACUCGUGUCGGCUUUCAACGUGGUACAUUGUCGAUUCGGUGGCGAGUAGACGGCUGCCCAUCUAACCCGUCUUGAACACGGGAAC